CAGGUCUCCAAAGUGAACAGCCUCUAGUCGAUGGACCAAUGUAGGACCAAUUAAAAAUGGCAUGGUUGUUCUUAGUUGGUGGAGCAAUUUGUCUGGUUAAUUCCGAGAAUGAUUGAAACUCUAGCCUAUUAAAUAGGUGCAUGGUUCUCUGCACCUUGCGCCCUUCUUAGAGGGACAAGCGGCUCCUAGCAGCACGAAAUGGAGCAAUAACAGGUUUGCAAUGCCCUUAGAUGUCCGG
rnacentral:rRNA from 1 species